GUGCCAGCAGCCGCGGUAAUACGUAGGGCGCGAGCGUUGUCCGGAAUUAUUGGGCGUAAAGAGCUCGUAGGUGGCGUGUCGCGUCUGCUGUGAAAGCCCGGGGCUUAACUCCGGGUUUGCAGUGGAUACGGGCAUGCUUGAGGUAGGUAGGGGAGACUGGAAUUCCUGGUGUAGCGGUGAAAUGCGCAGAUAUCAGGAGGAACACCGGUGGCGAAGGCGGGUCUCUGGGCCUUACCUGACGCUGAGGAGCGAAAGCGUGGGGAGCGAACAGGAUUAGAUACCCUGGUAGUCC
rnacentral:rRNA from 1 species